rnacentral:tRNA from 1 species
UCCCAGGUAUCUCAGACAGUAAAGAGUCUGCCUGCAAUGCCAGAGACCCAGGUUCGAUCCCUGGAUUGGGAA